rnacentral:misc_RNA from 1 species
AAGUCGUAACAAGGUUUCCGUAGGUGAACCUGCGGAAGGAUCAUUAUCAUCAGGCCGUCUGCUUUUAGUAGUACGGCCGCAACAACGAAUGCUUGGCACGGUAAGUCCUGGGGUUGGCAUUGGUUAAUUUCAACUGAAGCCACCCCAUGUGCGCGUGUCAUUGUGCCUUCUUCGUUAUCCAUUCUGUGUAUAUUACUUCUGUUGCUUCCCGCGGAGCAUUCGGUCCAUGGGCUGAAACUGCGGGGAGGGAAUCAUAAACUCUGGUCUUGUACUUUUAGUCUGAGUGGUUUGUCACAUAAAAACAAGUUAAAACUUUCAACAACGGAUCUCUUGGUUCUC